rnacentral:rRNA from 1 species
AACGAACGCUGGCGGCAGGCUUAACACAUGCAAGUCGAGCGCCCCGCAAGGGGAGCGGCAGACGGGUGAGUAACGCGUGGGAAUCUACCCAUCUCUACGGAAUAACGCAUGGAAACGUGUGCUAAUACCGUAUACGUCCUUCGGGAGAAAGAUUUAUCGGAGAUGGAUGAGCCCGCGUUGGAUUAGCUAGUUGGUGGGGUAAAGGCCUACCAAGGCGACGAUCCAUAGCUGGUCUGAGAGGAUGAACAGCCAGACUGGGACUGAGACACGGCCCAGACUCCUACGGGAGGCAGCAGUGGGGAAUAUUGGACAAUGGGAGCAAGCCUGAUCCAGCCAUGCCGCGUGAGUGAUGAAGGCCCUAGGGUUGUAAAGCUCUUUCACCGGUGAAGAUAAUGACGGUAACCGGAGAAGAAGCCCCGGCUAACUUCGUGCCAGCAGCCGCCGUAAAAC